ensembl:piRNA 21ur-6735 ncRNA
UCUUGACAUUGUCAGAUAAUC